rnacentral:rRNA from 1 species
GACGAACGCUGGCGGCGCGCCUAACACAUGCAAGUCGAACGAGCGAGAGAGAGCUUGCUUUCUCGAGCGAGUGGCGAACGGGUGAGUAACGCGUGAGGAACCUGCCUCAAAGAGGGGGACAACAGUUGGAAACGACUGCUAAUACCGCAUAAGCCCACGACCCGGCCUCGGGUAGAGGGAAAAGGAGCAAUCCGCUUUGAGAUGGCCUCGCGUCCGAUUAGCUAGUUGGUGAGGUAACGGCCCACCAAGGCGACGAUCGGUAGCCGGACUGAGAGGUUGAACGGCCACAUUGGGACUGAGACACGGCCCAGACUCCUACGGGAGGCAGCAGUGGGGAAUAUUGCACAAUGGGGGAAACCCUGAUGCAGCGACGCCGCGUGGAGGAAGAAGGUCUUCGGAUUGUAAACUCCUGUUGUUGAGGAAGAUAAUGACGGUACUAAACAAGGAAGUGACGGCUAACUACGUG